rnacentral:sRNA from 1 species
UCGUAUCUUAUGUAACCUACUCAUUGGC